AACGAACGCUGGCGGCAGGCCUAACACAUGCAAGUCGAGCGCCCCGCAAGGGGAGCGGCGGACGGGUGAGUAACGCGUGGGAACGUGCCCUUUGCUACGGAAUAGCCCUGGGAAACUGGGAGUAAUACCGUAUGUGCCCUUCGGGGGAAAGAUUUAUCGGCAAAGGAUCGGCCCGCGUUGGAUUAGGUAGUUGGUGGGGUAAUGGCCUACCAAGCCGACGAUCCAUAGCUGGUUUGAGAGGAUGAUCAGCCACACUGGGACUGGGACACGGCCCAGACUCCUACGGGAGGCAGCAGUGGGGAAUCUUAGACAAUGGGCGCAAGCCGGAUCUAGCCAUGCCGCGUGAGCGAUGAAGGCCUUAGGGUUGUAAAGCUCUUUCGUGGGGGAAGAUAAUGACUGUACCCCAAGAAGAAGCCCCGGCUAACUCCGUGCCAGCAGCCGCCGUAAGAC
rnacentral:rRNA from 1 species